GAUGAACGCUAGCGGCAGGCCUAACACAUGCAAGUCGAGGGGCAGCGGGGAGUAGCAAUACUUUGCCGGCGACCGGCGCACGGGUGCGUAACGCGUAUGUGACCUACCUAUAACAGGGGGAUAACCCAGAGAAAUUUGGACUAAUACCCCCAUAUUAUUAUUGAGCUGCAUGGUUUGAUAAUGAAAGACGCGAGUUGGUUAUAGAUGGGCAUGCGUGACAUUAGCUAGUUGGUAAGGUAACGGCUUACCAAGGCGACGAUGUCUAGGGGAACUGAGAGGUUAAUCCCCCACACUGGUACUGAGACACGGACCAGACUCCUACGGGAGGCAGCAGUGAGGAAUAUUGGUCAAUGGUCGGAAGACUGAACCAGCCAUGCCGCGUGAAGGAAGAAUGUCCUAUGGAUUGUAAACUUCUUUUUGUAAGGGAGCAAUAAGUUCCAUGCGUGGGAUGAUGAGAGUACCUUACGAAUAAGCAUCGGCUAACUCCGUGCCA
rnacentral:rRNA from 1 species